rnacentral:rRNA from 1 species
UACGGAGGGUGCAAGCGUUGUCCGGAAUCAUUGGGCGUAAAGAGUUCGUAGGUGGCAUGUUAAGUCUGGUGUUAAAGGCCGAAGCUCAACUUCGGUAAGGCACUGGAUACUGGCAAGCUUGAAUGUGGUAGAGGUAAAGGGAAUUCCUGGUGUAGCGGUGAAAUGCGUAGAUAUCAGGAGGAACAUCGGUGGCGUAAGCGCUUUACUGGGCCAUAAUUGACACUGAGGAACGAAAGCCGGGGUAGCAAAUGGG